GAGCCGUGCCCGUGAGCCGGUAUCCGUGACGGCCACCUGCCCCAGCCCUCGAUAAUUGCAUCCCCACCCGUGCUCCCCCCUCACAACCAACACAGCUCCAAAGAAAUCCCCAUCGCCGCCGCUCCCUCCCACCUUGUUCACUCGCCGCCAUGUCCGCCGCGUCAUCCUCCCCCCUCACCGUCCCAACUGACUUCCUGCUGCCUCUCAACCCGGUAUCCUUUUUGCGGCGACGAGAUCGCGACGAACUUCGCAAGGACGGGAGACAAGGCGGGUCAUUGGUUCUACAAGUGUAGAAAAUACGAUGCCCGCCAGUGCCGAUUCUUCGAUGCCAGAAGGCGUACGUGAGGAGGCUAACUCCGCUUCAGCUUGCCCGUGCUUAGAAGCAACAAGCAAGUCGACAUUCACCAAGCCGUGCAGAUGGUCCAUGCUGCCAACCAACCCCCAUGUGCAGCAAGGCGAUGGAGGGCAGAUAGCCACCCAAUCCAGUCUUUGCCACCGCGGUCUCGGCCAGGGCAGACUUUGUAUCAAACUGAUCAACUACAAGCCGCCGUUGCAUCCCGUUCCCAAAUGCUUGUAGUUGCCGCUCUGCUGCUUGCAGCUGCCAAUCUCAUGCUUACCAUGCUUGUUCUUCUGUUUGUAGUCGCCAGGUACUUUGGCUCGGUAAUUAAUGUGUUCAGAGCUGUUUACUGAGUUGCCGUGCGAACGGCCAGAAGGCGUCAACCAUGUCAGGGUGGCUCCCUGUACCUCAAGCCUGUUUCACCUAAAAUAGAACUUUAUUGGCAGCAUCAUAUGUAAUGAUAGUAACUAUGUUAAGUAUGCUUGUUACUGGCUGUCAUUGAAAUUAAUUCUGUGUAAUGAAAUUUCUUAUUGUUAUGCUAUUACACAAUUUGUUAUAUAAGAGAACUCUCCCUUAAUUAUGUCUUUGUUGAUCAGUUCGAUACAAAUUUUGGUUGUACAUAGACUGAAGUAGCAAAUGUAUUAUAUAUUACUAGUAUUAUUUUUCAUUUCAGUUUGUUAACCCAAAUAUUUCUUUAUUAUUUUGCUUCACUAGUGAUACAUAAGACAUUGAUAUUUGAAAGGUGCAUAAGCUUCCACACCAACAGUCGAUGGGAACAACCAGAAUCAUGCAUUGGUGUCUCGAAACAUUUUCUGCAUUUGAAAGUAGUGAGAGUAUGUAACCAGUUACUUUGUCGGCAUUUAACAAAUCGAAGAAGAUAUGCACCAGGUUUUUCAGGUUAAUUUUCUACAGUCAUACAUAUCAAGUUGUUCCAUUCGGAAUGCAAAUCUUUUUCUGCAAGCACCAGCGACUACGGCUUCGGCGAUGACUGUCGUUUCCUCCAUCACUUCCCCACCAUGGACACGAUCAGGCUAUUUGCGAAAAAAGAUGAACAAUUGAACCUAGGCAGUGAGGGGGAGCUCGGGAAGCCAAUGUGUUUUGGCAGCAACUUCAAGACCAGGCUAUGCAUGAGCUUUGUCGCCGGCGGAGGCCACUUGGCCUAUGGCAAAGUUGAGCUGCGCAGGCCAAACGCAUCUUCAGAAGUCCAAGAUCAAGUGGUUUUCAUGGUGUUUGUGAUGAUCGUGUGUCUGCUAUUUUGCAGAAAUGCCUAAAUAGAAGGUUGUCUAUUCUUGUUGUAGUCCAUUUUUUCGGUUCAAUGAAGGCAUGAUAGGCAAGGCAACAAAAAUGGAUUGAACAGGAACUCACUGUAUCUCUUAUUUUAUUCCUCGAAUUCUAACUGAAUAGUACAAUUCUUCAUGUAGCUGGA